AAACAAAAUAAAAGACUGGAGUCAUUGAAUGUGUUAAACCCUUAAACCUUAUCAGAAACAUGUCCCAAAUCAGUGGCAAAAUAUAAAUCCCACAUAGUACAAUGAUAGAACUAUUUCUGUCACUGUCAUGAAUAAUCAGUAGCAGUGAA